GACGAACGCUGGCGGCGUGCCUAACACAUGCAAGUCGAACGGAACUGUUUUGAAAGGUUUCUUCGGAAUGAAUUUGAUUUAGUUUAGUGGCGGACGGGUGAGUAACGCGUGAGUAACCUGCCUUCAAGAGGGGAAUAACAUUCUGAAAAGAAUGCUAAUACCGCAUGACAUAUCGGAACCACAUGGUUUUGAUCUCAAAGAUUUUAUCGCUUGAAGAUGGAAUCGCGUCCGAUUAGUUAGUUAGGGAGGUAACGGCUCACCAAGACCGCGAUCGGUAGCCGGACUGAGAGGUUGCACGGCCACAUUGGGACUGAGACACGGCCCAGACUCCUACGGGAAGCAGCAGUGGGGGAUAUUGCGCAAUGGGGGCAACCCUGACGCAGCAACGCCGCGUGAAGGAUGAAGGUUUUCGGAUUGUAAACUUCUUUUAUUAAGGACGAAAAAUGACGGUACUUAAUGAAUAAGCUCCGGCUAACUACGUG
rnacentral:rRNA from 1 species